rnacentral:rRNA from 1 species
UGCGGAAGGAUCAUUAUUGAAUACGUCUCUUCGGAGACUCAAUAUAUAUACCUCUGUGAACUGUUUGGCCCUCGGGCCGAUUACAAACAUUGUGUAAUGAACGUAGUUUAUUUUAACAAAAAAUAACUUUCAACAACGGAUCUCUUGGCUCUCGCAUCGAUGAAGAACGCAGCGAAAUGCGAUAAGUAAUGUGAAUUGCAGAAUUCAGUGAAUCAUCGAAUCUUUGAACGCACCUUGCGCCUUUUGGUAUUCCGAAAGGCAUGCCUGUUUGAGUGUCAUGAAAUCUCAAUCCCCUCGGGUUUUACGACCUGAGGUGGACUUGGACUUGGGUGUCUGCUGGUUGACGCUGGCUCGCCUCAAAUGACUUAGUGGGAUUAGCUUCCUAUACGCCUGACGUGAUAAGUUUCGUCAAGGCUUGGUCGCGACGUCUGCUCAUAACCCGCCCUCGGGCAAUUACUUUUUGCUUGACCUCAAAUCAGGUAGGACUACCCGCUGAACUUAAGCAUAUCAAUA